UCGGGAAUUUUGGGCAAUGGGCGAAAGCCUGACCCAGCAACGCCGCGUGAGGGAUGAAGUAUUUCGGUAUGUAAACCUCGAAAGAAUGGGAAGAAUAAAUGACGGUACCAUUUAUAAGCUCCGGCUAACUACGUGCCAGCAGCCGCGGUAAUACGUAGGGAGCAAGCGUUGUUCGGAUUUACUGGGCGUAAAGGGCGCGUAGGCGGCGCGGUAAGUCACUUGUGAAAUCUCUGAGCUUAACUCAGAACGGCCAAGUGAUACUGCAGUGCUAGAGUGCAGAAGGGGCAAUCGGAAUUCUUGGUGUAGCGGUGAAAUGCGUAGAUAUCAAGAGGAACACCUGAGGUGAAGACGGGUUGCUAGGCUGACACUGACGCUGAGGCGCGAAAGCCAGGGGAGCAAACGGGAUUAGAUACCCCGGUAGUCCUGGCCCUAAACGAUGAAUACUUGGUGUCUGGAGUUUCAACACUCCGGGUGCCGUCGCUAACGUUUUAAGUAUUCCGCCUGGGGAGUACGCUCGCAAGAGUGA
rnacentral:rRNA from 1 species